AUACUUACCUGGCAAGGGAGACACCGUGAUCAAGAAGGCGGUUCACCCAGGGCGAGGCUCAGCCAUUGCACUCUGGCUGUGCUGACCCCUGCGAAUUUCCCAAAUGUGGAAAUCUCGAUUGCAUAAUUUCUGGUAGUGGGGAACUGCGUUCGCGCUCUCCCCUG
rnacentral:snRNA from 1 species